rnacentral:misc_RNA from 1 species
GAAAAGCCUGUCCGCGGUCUGUCUCCAGAACUUCAGGAAAAACAGCCCGGAGGCCAGAAAGCCCAUUGUGACAAGGCCGCUGAGGAAAUCGUUCACGGGCGCCUAUUCCGUUUCCCAGAUGAAGCCGAACAGCAGCACGGUGACAGCAGCAAUGGAAGCAAUCCGCCGCAAGGGUACCAGAUCGAUGCUGGGCAGGAGGAUGAUGUCGACGCUCACCAGCAGAUUGUUGAGCGCGAUCAGGACAAAGCAGAUUGCGCUGAACAGAAGCAGGCGCGUCCUGUUGCGAAGAUAGCUGCGCAGGAGGAGCCAGGCGCAACUAGCGCUCGCGAUGAGACACAGGAUGUAGAUCAGGGAGGACGCCACGCCUCAAUCCUUCUUCAGACGAAACGCGUCCGCGAACGUGUGGAGCCGCUCGUUGGGACUGCCAAAAAUGGCCUUGGUCACGGCUGUCGGCCGUUCGCGAUAGACCUGCGCCAGCUGCUGCACGCAAAGAUCGAGCCGCGACGAGGCAGGGGC